rfam:Candidatus Zambryskibacteria bacterium RIFCSPHIGHO2_01_FTLL_44_22b rifcsphigho2_01_scaffold_36640, whole genome shotgun sequence.
UGGCACAAGUAACCACAAUGCGGGUGAGAAACCCGCACGCCGAAAGAACAAGGUUUCCCUCUCAACGUUUGUCGGAGAGGGGUUAGUCGGGCCUAAGGAAAUGGCGAGAGCCGCAUCCGAUGGACACACGGUUAAUAUUCCGUGACUGCAUUUCGAAGUGAUGGGAGGACGGGGGUAAGUAUGUGUCGCGCAUUAUUGGAUUUGACGUCCGUGCUUUGAGGAAGGUUUCUAGGAAAAUCCGGAAACCAAUAUUCCAAGAAGAGCGGAAAGGUUCGGGUUCGCCCGGGCCAAUGACGCAAAGCUACUCUCCUAGAAAAUUCUCUAAACUUAUUCGAGAUGCAACCGUACCGCAAACUGAAACAAGUGUUCUCGUCGAGAAGACGUAGGCGAACGAGUGAGAGGUUCCCAAGGAACUCGGCAAAAAAGCAGCCGUAACCUCGGAAUAAGGCUUCCCAGCACCACUUUUUGGUUUUAAGAUGUAGAUAUGUACAGCGUAUACACAUUACAACACUCAAUUACCAAAGAGUUAUAUUUUGGAAAAACAAAUAAUUUGAAGCGACGAUUAGAAGAACAUAAUAGUGGUAACCAGACUGCUACACAUAGACAGAGUGGCGAUUGGGUACCAGUUUACGUUGAAAUCUAUCGCUCGAAAGUAGAUGCAGACAGGAGAGAAGACAGAUUGAAACAGCAUGGUAGAGCAAAGCAAGAAUUAGUAAAAAGAAUUCAAUCGUCGCUUCUAAAUUAAAACCAAAAAGUGGUGCUGGGCGCAGCUAAAGUUUCUCUGGCAACUGUUUACCAAAAACACAGCUCCCUGCGAACUCGCAAGAGGAUGUAUAGGGGGUGACACCUGACCAAUGCCAGAAGGUUAAACAUGGGUGGUCUUAUUAUCUUCGGAUAACAAGGCUCGGUUAUGUAAGCCCUGGUGAAUGUCGGCCGUAACUAUAACGGUCCUAAGGUUCUGGAACUUUGUAAAGCAAGGUUUCAGAAGGACUGGGACUGUUUAGAUACGGAAUAAACAGUUGAAUGUAAAUGCACAAUUCGUGCAAAGCUAUCUCUUCUUACAGUGAUGUAAGAAUGGUCCUAAAAAACACAUGGCUAUAUGCUGGGAAGUCCUGAGUUAAAUCGAAGGACGAUCAGCAGGGAAGAUAAGAUUAUCCAAUAGUGGAAAUAAGAAAUCAGGAGAGGCGCGGGAAUGUCAGACGGUCCUAUUAAGUAACUCCGCGAUCCUUACGAGGAACUCAGCUCUCUAGACACUGGAAAAAUUCCAGAUGGGAGAAGGCUCAAAGCGUUUAGCUGAGCAAUUGAGCUUCGAAAGCCUCUCUGAUGGGUGGGAAGUAUUUCCCUCCUGGUUGAGAAGUUGUGGUUAUAUGUACUGUCUAGGACUAGGGCAGAGACCACAGCUUCUCAAUCGAACUGUUCUUUAAUAUAAGACGAUUUAAUCAAAUCGUCUCCACUAUUGGGUAAUCUUAUCCCCUCAGAUACCACACGCUGUGCUUCCAAGUUUUUGGAAGAAGAUAUGGUACCGUUUUAAGGAAUAACGCAGCGAAAUUCCUUGUCUGGUAAGUUCAGACGCGCACGAAUGGUGUAAUGACUGGAGAACUGUCUCGGGAACUUGCUCGGUGAAAAUACAAUACCGGUGAAGAUGCCGGUUUCCUGCAGUUAGACGAAAAGACCCCAGGAGCUUUACUGCAACUUGAUAUUGAGCUUACGGUUACGAUGCGUAGCAUAGAUGGGAGACUUUGAUGGCGCGUUCUCGGAUGCGCCGGAGUCGUCAGUGAAAUACCAUUCUUCUAGAUUGUAAGUUCUAACCUCGACGGAAAAAACGGCGAGAAACAGUAUCUGGCGGGCAGUUUGAGUGGGGCGCUCUCCUUGAGGACGCGAAUCAUUUCGUUUCCUCAAUAUCGGGCGCCCCAUGAGGAAUAAUCCACCUCAAAACAAAUAAAUAGGGGGACUUUCGCGAGUCAUCGCGAUUGGAAAAGUUGGUUAUAUCGGGAAAUCCCCAGCACUUUAAUUUAAGUGCUGGACAAUUCCGAGGAUAAUCUUCAACACUAAUUUUUGGAAAAAAAUGAGGAGCAACAGAAUUGUCGCUCCUCGCCAAGCCAAGUAUCGGCUUAAUGCCAUGAAGUGAUGAUUGACAUGACUGCAACAAAAAUAGUCAAUGCGACCAUCUUCCGCUUCCACACUAAUCCCAAAUCCCAUUGAGGUAAGUAGGAAAGCGGAAUGAAAGGAACGAAAUCCCUUGCUCACGAUCCAUGGCAGGCCAAUCGUGAAGAGGAUGACGAAAAGUGUUAAGCCCCAGAACAGGGCAAACCUCACUAUGUCGAAAUGGCCUUGGUACAUUUUUACACCUCCUGCCACAAUGGUACUAUAAUUAAUAGUUUUGUCAAGUAAAAUCUUGACUCCAAAAAUUAGUGUUGAAGAUUCCGUAGAGACUACAACCCAACCAUCCUGUAUAAUUAAGGAUGAAGAUAUAGUCCGAUCUUAUUGGUAACAGUAAGUCUUGCACAAGCAAGAACCCAUGAACACUAAAGCUAUUAGUGAAAUCAAGAAUAGUCUGUUUUUGACAGAGCGUCAGCGAGAAAUAAUUUUCGGCACGCUACUCGGAGACGGACAUCUUGAGACACAAAAUAGCGGUAAAACCUACAGAUUAAAAAUCGAGCAUUGUGAUGCUCAGAGAGAAUAUUUGGAAUGGUUUUACCAAGAGUUCAAAUCAUGGACACCAAGCCAACCUUAUACAAAGGUUAAAAAUGGGAAUGUAUAUGUGGGGAUAAGAACUUAUUCUCACGAGUCACUUCAAACAUACGGAAAGAUUUUCUACCGACAAGGUCAGAAAGUCAUUCCUAAAGUAAUCGAAAAGUUGCUUACUCCAUUAAGCUUGGCGAUAUGGUUUAUGGAUGAUGGUUCGCUCAAAUCUAAUAAACACCGAACUUAUAUAAUACAUACGCUCGGGUACAAAAGAGAUGAGCUAGAAAAAGUUCAGAAGGUUUUAUUCAAAAAAUUUGACCUUCAAACAUCACUUCAUAGACAGAAAGAAAAGUAUUGGAGAUUGUACGUACAGUCUCCAUCGGCUGAUAAGUUUAAGCGACUUGUUGAGCCGUAUAUACUUCCAUCCAUGAGAUAUAAAUUGGGGAACAAGAAUGCCUAAAAUGUAACGGAGGAUUCUAAAGGUCAGCUAGGCGCGAAUGGAAACCGUGCCGAUAGUGUAAUGGCACAAGCUGGCUUGACUGCGAGGCGUACAUGCCAAGCAGAUGCGAAAGCAGAGCAUAGUGAGCCGAUGGUCCGUAUUAGAGGCGGCCAGAGAUCAAAGGAUAAAAGCUACCCUGGGGAUAACAGGCUGGUUGCGCCUAAGCGUCCAUAGCGACGGCGCAGUUCGGCACCUCGAUGUCGGCUCAACUUAUCCUGGAGGUGGAGAAGCUUCCAAGGGUAUGGCUGUUCGCCAUUUAAAAAGUUACGCGAGCUGGGUUCAGACCGUUCAGAGUGUGAAAAGAUCAUGCUUUGAACAGUCUGCGCCCCUAGGACUAGAGGAG